AGCCUGUAGCACCAGUUGGCUUUCUUGAGGGGCCUGGUGGUCGGCCGGAGCCUGUCUUGGUGCAGGCAAGUGUUUAUAGUGGCACCACCUUUUCUUGGCUCAUGCUGUCCCCCGGAGCUCAUUCUUGAAUGACUUGGGCGGUUUUUCAAGAGUCCGGGUAGAUAGGUGGUCUUCAGGGCACCAUGUGGGUAGUCUUAGGCCACUCGCAGUGACUGAAAAAUCCCCGGUGGUAUCGGCGGAUUCAAGCCCGUGGCGUCCAGAACGCGGUGAGCGCAGGGCCCGCACGCUGACCACUCAGCCACCGCCUACCCAGUGAAUGAUCCGAGGCCUUAGAAGCUUGCCUGGGAUCAAACCUCUAGAAUUACACCCGAGUCAAGACGGUGGCUGGCUUGGGGGACUGUGGUGGAAAGGGUAGCCAAUAAUUUUGAAACUGUUUAUUUUUGGGCAAAAUAUGACACUUUUGUUAUGAGAUUCUUUACCUUCCAGAAAUCACCAAAUGACUGGCCCUUUCACUUGGCAGCGUCAACUCACCAUUCAGCCGCUGACCCCCAGUGACAGACUUCCGGGAGACUGGAAGGUAGUGGUGUCCACCAUGCUGGGAGGAGGACAGCGCUAAGUGACGGCACCCGCCUCUGUGUGUGUGUGUGUGUCCUGACGUCCACCGCUGGUGCUGAAGUGAGGGUCUGAGGUGGGCAGCACAGGGCCAGAAGACAGCCCCCGACUCUGUGUGUGUGUGUCCUGACGUCCACCGCUGGUGCUGAAGUGAGGGUCUAAGGUGGGCAGCACAGGGCCAGAAGACAGCCCCCAACUCUGUGUGUGUGUGUCCUGACGUCCACCGCUGGUGCUGAAGUGAGGGUCUGAGGUGGGCAGCACAGGGCCAGAAGACAGCACCCGACUCUGUGUGUGUGUGUGUCCUGACGUCCACCGCUGGUGCUGGUGCUGAAGUGAGGGUCUGAGACACUUGCUGUGCUCAGCACUCACUGUCCUUGCUCCUUGGUGCAUCCUUCCCUUCACCUGCUUGCUUGGUCCCUGAGUAGCGGUGAGGAAGACUUGCUGCCCCCUCGGCUGCAAGGCCGGGCAGCAGCCUGAGUGGCCAGGAGCAGCAGAGCAGACUGCCACUGGUGUGAGGAUCAGGGCGAUCAGAAGAACCACCACCACCACCCUGCUGCUGCUGCCUUCUCCAGCCAUAAGGAAAGGGAAAGUUUGAGUGGAAGGACUGUGAGGCAGUUUGGGACUGAGAGCAAGUUCAUCAGACACAGCCUUGCACACACUGCUGAGGGAAAGCAUGAGUAUCAGGAGUGUGAGGAAAGACUCCCUGGGAAGGGUGACCUCAACAAAAGCACCCACGCACUCGGGUGAAAGAAAUCAUGAAUCUCAAGGUUGUAGGAAAAGAUUGGGUGGGAAGGAUCACCUCAACACACACACCCUUACACACACUGGAGGAAAAAAACAUGGAUGUGAAGUUUGUGGGAAAAGUUUCCAUCUGAAGGGUGACCUCAAGAGACACACUCUUACACACACUGGUGAAAGAAAACAUAAAUGUGAAGUUUGUGGGAAAAGAUUCACUCUGAAGGGUAACCUCAAGACACACACCCUUACACACACUGGUGAAAGGAACCAUAAAUGUGAAGUUUGUGGGAAAAGAUUCACUCUGAAGGUUGACCUCAAGAAACACAUCCUUACACACACUGGUGAAAGGAACCAUAAAUGUGAAGUUUGUGGGAAAAGAUUUAAUCGGAAGGAUAGCCUCCAGACACACACCCUUACACACACUGGUGAAAGAAACCAUAACUGUGAAGUUUGUGGGAAAAGCUUCACUCUGAAAGGUGACCUCAAGAAACACACCCUUACACACACUGGUGAAAGGAACCAUAAAUGUGAAGUUUGUGGGAAAAGCUUCACUCUGAAAGGUGACCUCAAGAAACACAC